GUACACAAAAACAUAUUUUUUUCGUCUCGACUCAUUUGGAAACUUGUCCCAGCCUCUUGGAGAUCUUGGAGCUCUUGUAGCUGACGAAACCGGGCGGGCGGACUUCGCAGGAACAAAGACCGGCUUGCGAGUCACGGACUUGAUCGGCCGAGCUCUCGCCAUCUACGCCACCGCUGACAAAUCCGUCCACGGCAUCGCCGCCGCCGUAAUUGCUCGAAGCGCUGGAGUCGGGGAGAACUACAAGAAGCUGUGCUCUUGCGAUGGAACCAUCAUCUGGGAAUCGUGAAGUUCUUGCAAACAAAAAAAUUCUUGUAGCUAUGAUCGACUAGUACAGGAACCUGUGCUCUUGCGAUGGAACUAUCAUUUGAAUCGUGAAAGAAGAAAAAUUCUCGUAGCUAUGAUCUUGCGAUAGAACUAUCAUCUGGGAAUCGUGAAGUUCUUGCUAAGUGAAUCGAAAAAAUUGGAGAUAGUGUUACUUUAGC
rnacentral:lncRNA from 1 species